UAUGUAUAAAUACAUGAACUGAAUUGACUCAACAAUUACUUAGUGAACAUUAUGUGCCAAGAUCUACCUAAAGAUUCUUAUCCAUUUGGAGCUCAUACUUUAAUUACAGGGUCAGAAAAUAAGCAAAUCAAAAGUAAAAUAUAUGUCGGGAUAAAAUUUAUGAGGUAAAAUAAAGCUGGGGAGGGGAAUAAAGAAUUCUUAGGGGAGAGAUUUUUAUUUUUUUUUUUUAAGGCGUUCAGGGAAGGCCUCCCUGUGAAGCUGACAUGUCAAAGGAGUCAGGGAGUGAGUCAGGCAGAUACCAGAGGGAAGAGCAUUCUGGGCAAGAGGAAGAGUAAGUGUGAAGGUCCUGAGCUAGGUGCAUGGUUGUGCAUUGAAGGAUCACCAAGAUGGCACAAGUGGCUACAGCAGAUUGAAUCAAGAAAGAAGAUAGCAGCUCAGCUCAUCAGUAAAUAUGAACUCUUCCAGAACUGAAGUCUGCCUAGAUCUCUCACUAUUCUCUGACAGAAUUCAUCUCAUUUCCCACUUGCUUUAGAGCCAGAGAAGCCAUCAACCCAGAAGUGCCAAUGAGUGAAGAAAUAAUGGAUGAAAAUUUGAUGAAACUUCCCAAAUGUGAUGAAAGAUAUGAUGUAAACAUCCAAGAAGCUCAAUGAGCUCCAAGUAAGAUGAACUCAAAAACCCGCAAUGAAACACAUUGUAAUUAAUCUAAGAGAAAGAGAGAAUCUUGAAAGUAGCAAGAGAAAAGCAAAUUGUUACGUGGAAGAAUCCUCAAUAAGAUUAUUAGCAGAUUUCUCAUCAGAAACUGGAGGCCAGAAGACCAUAAACCAAUACAUUCAAAGUGCUUUUAAAAAGUGGCAUUAUUGUCCUUCAAAAGUUAGGAGGAAAUUAAGACAUUCCCAGAUAAACAAAAGCUGAAAGAGUUCAUGACCACUAGACACAUCCUGUAAGAAAUGCUCAAGAGAGUCCUACAAGGUGAAAAGACACCGGAAACUAACUUGAAUCUGUAGGGAGAAAUAAAGAUCUGAACACAGGCAAUUAUAAAAGCUAGCAUAUCACUGUAGCAAUGGUUUUAAAGAGCACUUUUUGUUUUCCAAUACAUUUAAAGAAAAACAAAGCAGUUAAUAAUACAGUUUCAUCCUGUUGUGAUCAGAGAAGAUACUCUGUAAGACAGCUAGCUUUUAAAAUCUUACUUAUUAAGACUUACUUACUUAUUAC